CGGGCUGUUGGCGGCGGUAUCUUUGUUGUUGUUGCGUUUGAUGCCGUCGUCGUAGGGAAUGUAGGAGAGGAGGCCGUCGGAGAACUCUUGAUCGUGGGAGGAGAGGGAGGGGAACAUGCGGCGGUGUGCGGAGAUGCCGGUGGAGAAGGUGACGCGGGCGCCGGUGGUGCGGGCGAGGCGCCGCGCCAGGUGUUGGGACGGGUUGAUAUGGCCUUGUGCCGGGUAGGUCACCACCAGGAAAUGCUGCUGCUGCCGACGAAGCUGCUCCAUAUCUACAACUGCCGAAGACAAAAAAAUGGAUAUAUAUAUAUGAAUUCAACAAAAGAGAGAGAGAGAGAGGUUGAGCUUAGUAUUUCUCUUCUCGUACAUCUACAGCGGGUGAGGAGGGGAAGGGUGACGUCAACGGUGAGAAGGGGCUCUUUUCUCUCUCUCUCCCUCUCUCUCUCUCUCUCUCUUCUUCUUUUUUUUUCCCUUUUCGCCCCUAAUUAAGAACAAAAGUUAGAUAAAAUGCAGCAUACAUACAUGUUAAGAGGAAGGAUACUUAGCUAGCUAUAUCUAGGAGGUGGUUGAGAGUAGUUUAAAGGCGUGUGGGUCUAAGCUCACGGAGGGCGGCGGAGACGGAGAGUCGGCGGCGUCGGGAGAGUCGGGGUGUGGUGGGGUCGCUUUGUUUGUUUGUAGAAGGGGCCCCAGAGACACAUUGGUGACGUUGGCGGUGACGCUAAGAUAAAAUAGGAGAAAGAAAUCCUGUGGGCUGCUGACGUCUCUAGUCUUAUUUGAAAAAAUAUUAUUACUCUAACCUUCAAUAAUUUCUAAUCUAAUCUCUUUGAAACUAACUAAAAAAAAAUUUAAUGUAAAAUAUUUUAUUUAUUGGUAAUUAUGGGCUCUCACCUUUCCCCCUCUUCUUUUUUUCUUUUUCUUUUUUAUUAAUAACUUGGAGUUCAUAAGAGUAGGAAGAGAGAGAGAGAGAGGAGGCGAUGGGCGGGAGGGCGCAGCUGCCAGGAGGGAAGAGCACGAGAAAUUCUACACUACCAUAUUUAUAUCAUAUUAUCAAUAACAAGCCAAUCAUAUUUCUUUUUUUUAAUAAAAAUAUAAUAAAUAUAUAUUUUUACAAUCAUGAUGAAAUAUAUAUCUCUAAAAGAAGACAUUUGAUUAAUUUGUUAUGUUACGUCACUAAUAUAUCCGUUGUAUUUUAGAAUUUUUCGAAGAGCACAAGGGAGGCCCGUUGGUGGGAGAGAUAGAAAGAGAGGAAGAGAGAGAGAGCUCAGUUAGGAGUUGCCGGGUGGAGGGAGGGAGGGAGAGAGAGAGAUGGGGUGGGAAGGAGAGAGAUUUUUUUUUUUUUUUUCUUUGGAGUUGCAAGGGAUGAUACUCAUGCAGAUCGGAGCCAAGCAAAGAUAGAUGUUUCCACAUGAAGAGAUAAUGAAUAUUUUAAGAACCUUCCACGCUAGAUGGAUGAUUGUUUGAGCACCCACGGUUAAGAAACUAUUUUCCGUGAUUUAAGUUUUCAUAAAAUUUGGUUUCUUUUCUUUUCACAUAAUGUAAAGUAUAAUUUUUUUAUUUUUAUUGGAGAGAGAAAGGUAAUAAUUGUUUCGCUCAUUUUCUAUUAGAAUUAUUUAGGGCCCUUAGUCCUAAAAUAAUUAACUCCAUAUUUAUAUACACUCCAAAGAGCAAGGUUAUUAGCUCUUUAUCUUUUACAGACCAACCACAUAUUAUUUUUAGAGAAAACUUCAAAUACCCCCUUGUGGUUUUGUACUUUCCCACUUAGUAUUCUGUGAUUUAAAGUGUAUCAAGUUAGUAUCAUGUGGUUUCGCACUUUUUUAUUUUAGUACCCUAUGGUUUCAAGUGUAUAAGUUAGUACCUUAUGAUUUUAUUUUUAUAUCAAGUUAAUAUCUUGUGGUUUCAAUUUUCUCUUUUUAUUAUCCAUUUCAGGACAUAUAAUUUAAUAAAAUAUUAAACUAUAGAUACUAAAGUGAGAAAGUGCGAAACCACAGGGUAUUAACUUGAUACACUUGAAACCACAGGGUACUAAAGUGAGAAAGUGCGAAACUACAUAAUACUAACUUGAUACACUUUAAAUUAUAGGAUAUUAAAGUAAAAAAAUACGAAACUACAAGGGGUAUUUGAAGUUUCCUCUUAUUUUUAUAUUUUAAAUUUAUGUGUUGUAGUUGCGGCCCGUUUCUACUCUCUCUCGUUACUUUCGAAGUGCAGGGUUAUGAGCUCAUUAUCUUUUGAGGCCAACUAGACCACAUUUUUUUUUUUCUUUAUUUCAAAUUUAUGCGUUAGAUUUGGCGUCGGUUUCAACACUCUCUCUCUCUCUCUCUCUCUCUCUCUCUCUCUCUCAUCACACAUUACAAUCAUCUAACAAAAAUACAACAGAUGUGUCAUCUCAAUCUUCAUUCUAAGGGCUCCGAGGCCAUUGCAAUCCGCCGAAUACGAAAAAUUCUAGAAUGCAACGGAUAUAUAGGUGACGUGGCGUAAUAAGCCAAUCAAAUAUUUUUUUUAAAUAUAUAUGUCUCAUCAUGAUUAUAAAAAAAUAUUUUUAUUAUAUUUUUGUUUGAAGAGAAGAAAUGUGAUUGGCUUGUUAUUAAUGAUGUGGUGCAAGUAUGACAGUGCAGAAUUCCUCGCCAAAUACACCUUUAGAUAUUGUUUAGUUAGGAAAUAAGCUAUUUUAAGCUAUUUCUGGAAUAGAUAUAAUUUUUAAAAUGAACAAAAAUAAAAUUAAUUUUGCGUUGAAAUUAAAAUUUUUUUUUUUUCCGGAAAAAAAAAACAUAUAAUAGUUAGAUUGGAAUUCUAAAAAUAAGAAUAAUUAUAAUUUUAAUAUAAUAAUAUUUUAUUUAAUUAAUUAAUAUAAAAUAUUAAUUAAAUAACAUUUUAUUUUAUUUUAUUUACUAAUUAAUCAUGAGUAUUGCUAAAUAAUCCUAAAUAUUAAUUAAUAAAUUAAUUAGUAAUUAAUAAUGUAAAUAAUCACAAGUAAUUUAAUAAAUUAAUAAAUAAAUUAGUUAAUAACAAUCAGAUAGUUAAACUAGUUAAAAAAUUAACUAAUUAAUCAAUAUAAAUACUGAUUAUUAAAUAAGUACACUAAAUAAUUAAUUAUUUAGUUAGCAAAUUAAUUAAAAUAAUAAAUUAAUUACUCAAAUAGUAAAUUAAAAUAUUUAUUAGAGUAAUAAAUUAAGCAAUUAAUUAUUUAUCUAGUUGAUUAGUAAAUGAUGAAUUAAUAUAUAUAUAAUACAUUAAUUAAAUAAUAUUUUUUUAUUAAUUUAGCAGAAGUAUAAAAAGAGGAACUGUUGUUUUCCUAUUUGGAUGGAACAAUAAUUCCACCCUAUUAACGAAUUAUCCUAAAUAAAUAAUUAAUUGGCGAAUUUUUUUAUAUUUGUAAAUUAAGAAAAAUAAGAUUUUUAUUCUUCUUAUUGUCCUCUUUAUUCUUUGAAUCAGUCAAUGCCUUAGAUUCCCUUCGCGGCGUACCGCUAGAAUUGAGCCUCCGGUACGAAGGAGGGAAUCGAAUACUAGAUCUCCCCGAAAGAGUGGACUUCAAGUUUCACCUCCAACCCUUAAUUACCGCAGCCUAAUCACGUUACGAGUUACGACUAGUGUUAACCGAUCGAGAUUAACAAUAUAUACUCACUCACUCUUUACGACAAGUCAACUUAAUUAUUAAGACCAGUAAAAGAAACCUAGUCCAGUGAACCAAGAAUUCCUUUGCAUCAAUGCUGCUGAGAUCUGAGCACGCAUCAAUGUCAACGCAAUCAAGAUGAAAUAUUCGACACAAACUGAUGCUAAAUCACUUCACAUUCGCAAAUCUAAUAAGAUGCUGAGAGAUCAAACCGUAGCAAUGCCGAAGCACCGAUCAGCGGAUCCACACGAAGAGCUCGCCCCAACUGCGAGAAUCGCCGCCACUCCAAGCGCCCAAAAUCCGAGAUCGAGAUCGAGAUCAAAAGGGAGAGGAGCUAGGGUUUCGAAGCAUACACCUCCGUGAGUGAGAGAGAGGAAGAGGGUUUUGAAUCCGCGUGAAUCCCUUCGCGAAAACUAUAAGAAAAGAAGGGGGGAGAGGGUAGAGACGGGCGGGGGAGAAGGAACAGUGGGGUGACUAUGGACUUUCCACGUAUAUAUUUCUCCGUGGCCGGGUGAAAGCUUUUUCGUGGGAAGAGUACCCCCAGUCUCCAGCACGUGCCGAUCACGUGAGCGGCGGCCGAAGAGGCUGAGCUGGUGUUUAAUUAUUAAUCACAAUAAUUACUGUAAUCGUUUUAUUUACAGUUUUGCACCCGUGAACGUGCCAACGUUCUCGAUCAGCUGCAGUUGGUGCUACAGCAAACGGUGUUCUCGCGUAUUAUUAUAGUAGGCAACGUGCCAAUUUUGUGUGUGUCACGGCCAUGUGUUUUCACAGCUGGAAUUGUCAGACUCGUGAGAAAAAUACACUGGUUCAACAGUUUACUGAGAUACAGGGAUGAAAUAAAUUGCACCGGUAAUUUCUAAAUACUUCCUUUGGUUCGGAUAUAAACAAUAACUAGCUAUUACAGAAAUAAAUAUAAGUAUGGAGAUAAAAAAAAAUAGCGUUUGGAUAAAAAUUAGGUUGUUCCCGGAGAUAAAAAAAAAAAUAACGUUUGAAUAGAUAAUAUGGAAUAAAAAAAAUAGUGAAUAGUUAUUAUAUAUAGAAAAUGAAGGUGUUGGUGGGAAUAGUUAUACUAGCUUAUUUCAGAUAUCCUAGAAUUACUAUUUUCGGAUAAAAAAUUUACAUUUGGGCAUAAAGGGAGGGAUAAGGAGUUAUCCCUCCCCUUGUCCCCGAUCCAAACGCUACCUAAGUAUCUAGGUGAAGUUAAGUUUUAGUUCUUCUUCCGAACGUCUGUGUUUACCGGUUGAGAUUAUGAGCUUUCGAGUAUUUAGCUUAAUUUUUGUCUUAGAAAAAAUAAUUACUGUUUUCACGUAGUUCGCCCACCAAAACAUUCAUUAUCUUUAAUUCAUAAGUCCUCUGUCGGUUUCAUAUUUUUGUACGAUAAUCUAAUAGUUUAGCAAAGAAAGAUUAUUAGGUGAGAAUGCAAGCUAAAUUAUAGAAUGAAAUCAUCAAUUCUUGGAUGAUAAAAUAUAAAAUUUACAUAAAAAAAUAGAAUGUACUGACUAGUUGAAUUAGUAUAUUAUUAAUAGUAUAUUAAUAGUUUUUGCUAUUUAUUUUUUCAUCCUUGGAUCAUUAAUAUUGCAUCUAUCACCACUAAAUUCUAAAUAUUCAAUAGUUAAAAAAUAGAUAAUAAAAAUUAUUUUUAUAUUAUCACUAGUAUUCGAACUCUACUAAUAUACCAACAGCAUUUUUCCAAAUGUAGACCCAACAAAGAAAAUAGUACACUAGAGUCUAGAGAGCCAUGCAUGGAUUUAUUAGUACAGUUUCCACUACCCGUUACAGUGAGAGAUCAAUUUAUAUUUCUCGCACUUUUCGUAUGCAUCACUAGCAAUUCAAUCACACAAUAUCAAAAAUAUCAAAAAAAAAAAAAAAAAAAAAAGAAAAAAGGAAGGUAUUAAAUUGAUUGUAACUAAUUGCGGUUGGCGAUCUGGUUCACAAAAGCCCGCAGGUUCCGCUGGGAGGAUCCUCCGUCCCCGAUAGCCUCCCGGGCCUUGUCCUUCCACAUCUGCGCCCUCCUCCUUAUCUCCGCCCCUCUCUCCCCCUCCCCCAUCACCACCUCCAGGCACCUCCUCAGCUCCUCCCCCUCCAGCAGGCCCUCGCCGUUGAUCUCCCCCCUCACCCCCAUCCCCCACUCCUCCGCCAUCAGCCACGCGUUCGUCCCCUGAUCCGUCCACUGGGGCACGCACACCGUGGGCACCCCCGCCGCCACGCUCUCCACCGUCGAGUUCCAUCCGCAGUGCGUCACGAAGCACCCCACCGCGGCGUGGUUCAAAACCCUAACCUGGGAGCACCACUCCACCACCAUCCCCUUCUGAUCCGGCUCCUCCGGCUCGAUCGACUCCGCCUCCUUGUUGUCCUUCCGCACCACCCACAGGUACGGUCUCCCGCUCUCCUUCAAGCCCUUGCGCAUCUCCUCCAUUUGCCGCUUCUUCACCAUGGACAUGCUCCCGAAGGACACGUACACCACCGACCCCUCCGCCUUCCCAUCGAGCCACUCCAUGUAAUGCUUCUCGUCGGGGGCGAAGAGGUCCUUGGACUCCGCGGCGCCGCCCUCUAGGGCUGCUAGGGACGGGAUCACGGGUCCGACCGCGAUUAGGUUUAGGUCCUCGACGGAUUUGAGCGCGUUGGGCUCCAGCGCGUCGAAGGUGUUCACCAAAACGGUCGUCUUACCCCCAGCGGCGUCGGCUCCGUCGUCGCCACGCUCGAUCGCAUCGAACGUUUCCCUGAAGUCGUCGAGGACGGCCGCGUAGGGAUCGUCCUCGGACGUGGUGGCGAGGAAGGAGGGGAGGUCGCGGAUUCUGAGGGGCGCGAGCCCCGGCAGGGUCACGGUGUGGGCAGGAUCGCUGGCGUGGGCCGCGGCGGCGGCGGCGACGACGCCGUCGUAGCCGUGGAAGUAGUGGUAGUAGAUGGCGAGCACGGUGGCGGGUUGGAUCCAGCAGAGCACCGCGGGGACGCCGUGGGCCCGCGCCACGUCGGCGACCCACGGCAGCAGGAUCGUGUACACGACGCACGUCACCCGCUCGUCGCGCGCCGAGAGGCGGUCGAGCACCGCGGAGAGGGUCCUCGUCCCAACCUGCUUGAGACGCAACAUCGGGUUGUCGGCGGCGGCAUCUUUGUUGUUGUUGCUGCUGCUGCGUUUGAUGCCGUCGUCGGAGCCGUCGGAGUAGGGAAUGUAGGAGAGGAGGCCGUCGGAGAACUCUUGGUCGGGGGAAGAGAGGGAGGGGAACAUGCGGCGGUGUGCGGAGACGGCGGUGGAGAAGGUGACGCGGGCGCCGGUGGAACGGGCGAGGCGCCGCGCCAGGUGUUGGGACGGGUUGAUAUGGCCUUGUGCCGGGUAGGUCACCACCAGGAAAUGCUGCUGCUGCCGACGUAGCUGCUCCAUAUAUGCAACUAACUAAGCCGAAAAAAUGGAAUGGCUCUCUUAAUUAUAUAUUUAUG
rnacentral:lncRNA from 1 species